AUAGAAGACUCCAUAUUACCAGCUGACUCAGUCUAGAAUCUUGGUGUGCUCACAGGCUUUGAAGAACAAGCUGCCAUGAAUCCUACAGCUACAAGGAAAUGAACUCUGUUAACUUGAGUGAGCUUAAAACUAGAUCCUUCCCCAGUCAAGCCUCCAGGUGAGAGAGAAUUCAAUCCUGGCUGGCACCUGGAUUGCAGCUUACAGAAGACCCAGCUAAGGCCAUGUCUGGACUUUAAAUCCACAGGAACUGUGAGAAGGAAGAUGAUUCCAAGUCAUGUUAUUUCCAAGGAAGCAACAAUAACUUCACUGGACCCCUGCUGAUCUUAAAGUGCAGCAAGAAAAACAGUCUUGGAGACUUCUAGAGAUGUCCGAAGUAUGCCUACGGGGAGCAAUAGGGAUACCAGGAGAAUCUGAUGCAGGAAGGCCCUUGCCGGAUGCCAGCAACUUGAUAUUAGAUUUCCCAGCCUACAAAACUGAACGCUACACUAAAAAUGCAGCCAUUUGUUUCUCCAUCUACGUGUGGCACGAGGGUACAAACACAAGUGCUCUGCUCAGAGAAAAAGAUCCCUGAAGAGCAGCUGCAGGCAACACAUUCUGAAAAGAAACAAUAUUUUAAAGCUAUCAUGUAGGACAAAAUGUUUAAGAAAUUCUGGAAUAUCUCUUGAUUCAAUGACAAAAGUUACAAAAAGAGUUCUUUCUAAUUGCUAGGAUGUAUUUGCAUUUUGCCAUCAUUGGAAAUAUGCCCUUACCAAGAAUUCCUUCCAAAGUAAAGUCAGAGAUUGCUUCUGACUUGUGGCACUUCUUCAACCCUAAUCCAGGCUACAUACACCUCUGCUUUAUUCUUCACCUCCUGCUUGCAUGGAACUCACAGACUAGCCAGAGGUGCAAGCUGAUGCUCUUCUCAGGCUGUGCUAGUCCUUCAGGGAAUAUCCAGAAAGGUCAAAAUUUACAACCAAAACUUUUGGAAAAUAAGAUCUACAUUGCUCCCCUUCACCCCAGCAACUUUCACCAGUAAUGUCAGCUGCUGUCCAUCCAGCCACUCCUGAACUGGAGAAUGAGGGAUGAUAGACAGGAAAACAAACUUGAAAAUACUGGAUAACCAUAUAAAGCAUGGAAAUGGUAUUAAUUAAAGAAUGCCUUGAGAAUUUAUUAAUAUUAGUGGGAUAAAGUUAAAGAUGAAUUGAAGCUUUGCCUCCAUUAAUAGAAUGGCAUAAGUUUCAAUUAUGGACUUGACUGCUAUGGAUACCACUGUUUCCUAACAUGUGGCUUUUCCAGGGACUCCACGUCUAACCUAAACCAAUACAAAUCUGAACAUUGAAUCUGAUCCUUCUGAGAGGACACUACACCACUAGAGGGAAUCAAACAGAAGAUACAAAAUUUCUGCUCUCAGUUCUGACACAGUGUUCUUCCCUCCAACUGUGAAGCAGAGAGCAGCCUGUGCCAGACAACUAAAGCUGCCAGUGCCUUGUCCUUGGAUGCCCAGCCUCCAGAACACUUCGUUGUAUAGUCAUUUCUGCUUCCAGUGAGCUUCAACUGUGGUGAAGAAAGACACCCACAUACCUAACAACACUAUAAGAGAGAAAGAAAAAAAUACACUUAGCAAAGGUACAAGCAACAUGUUACAUGAUCACUGAGGAAGAAGCAGCUAUAAUGAAGAUGUGUUAAAGUGUAAAAAGGAAGCUGUGAAGGAGAUAUCAAAAAUAGGAGGAAGAGAGAGAGAGAAAAUGAAAGAUGUAUAAUCCUGGGCUCUAGCUGCAUGGCCUCUGAUGUGGUGAACUGCAGACAGAGCAGUGUGGCAGCUGAAUGACAAACACAGCAAAUUGGAACAACAUAAACCCUACGUAACUUUAACAUCAUAGCUGAUUAAGUUUUCUGGCAUGUAAAAUGCAUCCACUGUGAGAAAUUCUGUAUCUCAGACAUGACUCACUGUUUAGCAUAUUUAUACCAUUAGGAAAUACUAAAGAUGUUUCCUCAAGCA